rnacentral:rRNA from 1 species
UUAGGGAAUAUUCCGCAAUGGGCGAAAGCCUGACGGAGCAACGCCGCGUGAGUGAAGAAGAUCUUCGGAUUGUAAAGCUCUGUCAACAGGGACGAUAAUGACGGUACUUGAGGAGGAAGCCCCGGCUAACUACGUGCCAGCAGCCGCGGUAAUACGUAGGGGGCUAGCGUUAUCCGGAAUUACUGGGCGUAAAGGGUGCGUAGGUGGUUUCUUAAGUCAGAGGUGAAAGGCUACGGCUCAACCGUAGUAAGCCUUUGAAACUGGGAAACUUGAGUGCAGGAGAGGAGAGUGGAAUUCCUAGUGUAGCGGUGAAAUGCGUAGAUAUCAGGAGGAACACCGGUGGCGAAGGCGACUUUCUGGCCCUAUACUGACGCUGAGACGCGAGAGCGUGGGUAGCAAACA